GGGUAAUUAACUCAGUUGGUAGAGUAUCUCGCUUACAACGAGAAGGGCGGCGGUUCGAUUCCGUCAUUGCCUA
rnacentral:tRNA from 1 species